CAAUAUUUAAAGCUAUAAGGUAAGAGAAGUUUUGUGAAAAUUUCACUCAAGCAAUCCAUGCAAGUCCUCAUACUUCACCAAGGGAGAGUGCCUCCCCACAGGUGUGCACUGCGACCCUGUCGAGCUGGUGAUCAGAGAGGAGGAGGGAGCCCCGCCACCACGAGACCCCACGGGCGGGCCUUGUCCUCCAGGCGCCGGAGCUGGACGCACGCGUGCGUGUCCUCACCGAAGGAGAGGGCAGCUGUGCCAUGCUGGGUCCCUUCUCACUUAUCCCGAAGCGGGUGCCAGCCACCGAGGGCCAGGCCCCAGGUGCAGAGGGCCAUCCCCGGGGGCCGAGGAGGAGGAGCGGGUCUACUGUGCGGACGCGGGUUGGCCGCAUGCACGGAGUCGGUGGUGCAGCCGGGGGUCUGCCGUGUGGACACGGGCGGCCACGCAGACAGGGGUCUGCCGUGUGGACACGGGCGGCCACGCAGACAGGGGUCUGCCGUGUGGACACGGGUGGCCACGCAGACAGGGGUCGGCCGUGUGGACGCGGGUCUGAUGUGCGGAGGAUAACGGUGGUGACUUUUUCUCUUUUCCAGCUAUACUCUCAGGAUGGUCCUCUCACUCAGGCCGAGAACUGUAUAAAGAAAUUUUACGGUAUACUCAGCAUCUAAACUACCACUUAUAUUUGUUAUUUAAGUUGGUCUAUUUUGGAUCUGAAAUUAGAUCAGUAUAAAAGCUGCCCCUUUUAGAGGGGGUGGUGCUUUACCUCUAGUAGCUAUGGGGGCAGACGACAGCCCCGGAGGGCUUGCCGUGACCCUGGGCCCGUGGGGAGAAGUCUCCAUUGGAGGCUUGGCCGCGGUGCACCCCAUCUCGGGGGCUGACAAGGGCCAUGUGUCUGGGUCCCCACACAGCCUCGAGGGGAGAGGAGUUUCACAUCUGAUGUGUGAUUUCCAAGCCCCCGAAGCCGAAGCAGAGAGAAAGAAAGCGUGCUACUGUUUGGGGUGGCUGGUGGGGGCACGUUUCUGGAUCGAGGGGCUGCUCUAGAGCCAUUUGAGGGUUGUCAGCCCGGGAAGGCCACGGGGUCCGGAAGCACCAGCUGGAUGGGCUUUCUGGAGAGAACGCUUCUCUCCCCCGCGCCAAGCACAGAGGGUGGGGAGUGCCGGUCACCCACCAGCAGUCACCCCUGUGUCUCUGCUCUGCCCCUGGCUCUGUGCUUGGCUCUCCCAGGCCCUCUGAUGACUCUUGCCCAGCCCGCUGCCCCACACGGGGCUCCUGUGGAUUCUGUCCUCGGCGUUCGCAGGAAGGACACGUGAGCAGUUUCUAGAGGCGCUUCUGUGCGUCUCUCAGCUCCAGGGCUGCGCUGAGCUGUCUGGGGUGAAGGGCAGCCAGACGCUGCUUGAGCAGGUGCCAAGCUCUGAUCCCUCAACCGUCCUGGGCCUUAAGCAGCAACCUUUGAGGACAGAAGUCCUAAGAGCUCCAGGAAAAUCUGAAAAUCUUCCCUUCUGUUCCUUUUGAACCAGGGUUUUCUGAGUCAGUGGGGCUGGGGGAGGCCUGUGGCCCGGACCCAGAGUCCGUGCGCUGUGGGUGGUCUUUUGCUGGGAGUGUCUGGUGCCUGUCAACCUCAGAUCGGGAAGGCAGGGCCAGUUUAUUUCAGAAAUAUGUGGAGACUUACGUGAAGGAUCCCUAGAGUAGGAAACGGCAACCCAUCCCAGUAUUCCUGCCUGGAGAAUCUCAUGGACAGAGGAACCUGGCAGGCCACAGUCCAUGGGGUCACAAAAAGUCGGGCACGACUGAGCGACUAACACACGCGGAUAGUGUCCUUGUUUCCAGCCUCCGAAUGUCCCACGGCCCCCAUUUGUGUAUUAUAUCAACUGUUUCCCCUAAAUCUCAGAAAGAGCCGGACGAAGAGUUCCAAGUGGGGUGUUGAGAGCAGGGAGCAGACGAGGCCAGGAGCGGCAGUGAAGUGACGGCUCAGCCUGGAGAGGCGCACGCCCUGCAGAAGCAGCCUUGCCUUCUUCCUGCCUGGUGUUUGCAGGCUGACCGUGGGGCCUCCUGUUCCCUGAGCCUGUCAGCCUGGCCCCUUGCUCCUGGUACAAGACUGGAAACGGUGUGAACUGACUCUGCGUCCAAGGGAGGUGCCGACCGCCUGUGCUGCUUGUCUGCAGAGCUCCGGACCUCCCAGGGCUGCACUGCUAACUAGACCCUAUGAAGGUGAAUGUGAAAACCGGCCUCUGGGUCCCAAUUCUGGCUUAAGGCCUGGGGUCUGCUCCUUAUGCCCCACGGCUAUCGUGAGCAGCUGGAUGGAGGGGCACUCUUGGAGUGCCAGGCCUCCAUCAACUUCUCCUAUUCUCUCUUGCAACACACAACUCAAGUCUCCGGAUGUUCCAAGUUUCAUGGUUUAUGGAUCCAGGGCCCAGAAGCCAGAAAUCUUGUUUCCCACACCCUUGGACUGACUCCCACUGAACCUGGAGCUCUAACUAUGUCAGGUCAGAGGCAGCGAUUCUGUGGCUCAGAACUGACGGUGUCUUUGGCUCGCCAUCCUUGCCAGCUCCACCCUGAUGUUGUUUUAGGAGGUCCCAUGAGCACACUGUUGUACUGGUAAGUUUUUAUCUCUCAUGACUGAAAAGGCAAACCAUAUCUGUUUGUUUUUAUUCAAUUUUCCAAGUUUUAUAUAGAGUUCCUAUAAAUAAAAUAUUGUGCCUUGAGAAUGUGAGGGCAUGGAAACAAAUGCAGCUUAACCAGCAGCACUGCCUAAUAUUCAGGCCUCCUGGCUGAUGUCUUAGGAAUCCUGAAUUUUGUAUUAGAAAAUGAUUCUCAGGCUCCAAAAUGCUAUUAAACUGAAAUUUUCAUUUAAAAAAAUUUAUUCAUGAAGUGUUAAAAAUAUCUGUGUGUGAAAUCCUGCUCCAUGCCAUCAUCAGUGAGAGCCGGGCCUGCGAGGGCUGAUACUGUGAGCCAUCAUCAGUGAGAGCCGGGCCCGCGAGGGCUGAUACUGUGUGCAUAGCUCAGUACCUUCUCAUGGCCCUGCAGUGUGUGUUCAGGUUUUGAUUCAGCUGUUUGAUGAAAGUGAGCUUGAAAGCUAAUGUUUAUCACCAAUGACAUGUAUCAGUGAUGGUGAGCCGAUGAGGUGUAUAUACAAGCUCUUUAUGUUUAGAACAUUUAUUAGCUAAUGACCAACGACGGUUUUAAUGGGGCGUUUUAUUCUCUGCUAGAGCAGCCCCAGGGUAGCCAUAUACAUUUAAACAAUUGACCUUGAACUGUGUGGGUCCACUUACACUUGGAUCUUUCC
ensembl:lincRNA